rnacentral:rRNA from 1 species
CUCCAACCCCUGUGACAUACCUUAAUGUUGCCUCGGCGGAUCAGCCCGCGCCCCGUAAAACGGGACGGCCCGCCAGAGGACCCAAACUCUAAUGUUUCUUAUUGUAACUUCUGAGUAAAACAAACAAAUAAAUCAAAACUUUCAACAACGGAUCUCUUGGUUCUGGCAUCGAUGAAGAACGCAGCAAAAUGCGAUAAGUAAUGUGAAUUGCAGAAUUCAGUGAAUCAUCGAAUCUUUGAACGCACAUUGCGCCCGCUGGUAUUCCGGCGGGCAUGCCUGUUCGAGCGUCAUUUCAACCCUCAAGCCCCCGGGUUUGGUGUUGGGGAUCGGCUCUGCCUUCUGGCGGCGCCGCCCCCGAAAUACAUUGGCGGUCUCGCUGCAGCCUCCAUUGCGUAGUAGCUAACACCUCGCAACUGGAACGCGGCGCGGCCAUGCCGUAAAACCCCAACUUCUGAAUGUUGACCUCGGAUCAGGUAGGAAUACCCGCUGAACUUAAGCAUAU